GGCCAGACUCCUACGGGAGGCAGCAGUGGGGAAUAUUGCACAAUGGGGGAAACCCUGAUGCAGCGACGCCGCGUGAGCGAUGAAGUAUUUCGGUAUGUAAAGCUCUCUCAGCAGGGAAGAAGAUGACGGUACCUGACUAAGAAGCCCCGGCUAACUACGUGCCAGCAGCCGCGGUAAUACGUAGGGGGCAAGCGUUAUCCGGAUUUACUGGGUGUAAAGGGAGCGUAGACGGCGAUGCAAGCCAGAUGUGAAAGCCCGGGGCUCAACCCCGGGACUGCAUUUGGAACUGUGUGGCUGGAGUGUCGGAGAGGCAGGCGGAAUUCCUAGUGUAGCGGUGAAAUGCGUAGAUAUUAGGAGGAACACCAGUGGCGAAGGCGGCCUGCUGGACGAUGACUGACGUUGAGGCUCGAAAGCGUGGGGAGCGAACAGGAUUAGAUACCCGUGUA
rnacentral:rRNA from 1 species